GGGUUGUCAUGCCAAUGGCACUGCCCGGUAGCUAAAUGCGGAAGAGAUAAGUGCUGAAAGCAUCUAAGCACGAAACUUGCCCCGAGAUGAGUUCUCCCUGAGACUUUAAGUCUCCUGAAGGAACGUUGAAGACGACGACGUUGAUAGGCCGGGUGUGUAAGCGCAGCGAUGCGUUGAGCUAACCGGUACUAAUGAACCGU
rnacentral:rRNA from 1 species